UUAGACGCUGUGAAUGUGUGUAGGUUACAUGCUACGAUAUUCCACAUAUUUCCAACUGGUUGAAACGAAAGCGUAUUACUUUAUUGUCAGUGUUGUUUAGACCCAGGUCGCUAUUACUUCGUUAUAACAACGUAACGUUAACAGAGUGGAAACAGCCGUUCUUUGCUAUUAAUAUGAGUGUGUAUUAUUUCUUUCUUUGUUCUUUAGUGGAGCUCGAGAUCCUGUUUACUGUGGACUAGCUGUGUGUGACGCCAUGUUGUUUUUGUUUCCAUUACAAAAAAAAAGCUCCACCGUCUCGCCGAGUGCCAGCAAGAGUCAUGAGUACUUGUCAACUCGACUCCUCAACUGGAGAUAACUUUCUAGCACCUCACCAUGGGGAAGGAUGUAUUCAUAUGCCUUCACCAGCACCUGCAUUAAACAUGCAGAGAGUUACACAAG